GGGGAAUAUUGGACAAUGGGCGAAAGCCUGAUCCAGCCAUGCCGCGUGUGUGAUGAAGGCCUUAGGGUUGUAAAGCACUUUCACCGAUGAAGAUAAUGACGGUAGUCGGAGAAGAAGCCCCGGCUAACUUCGUGCCAGCAGCCGCGGUAAUACGAAGGGGGCUAGCGUUGUUCGGAAUCACUGGGCGUAAAGCGCACGUAGGCGGAUUGUUAAGUGAGGGGUGAAAUCCCAGGGCUCAACCCUGGAACUGCCUUUCAUACUGGCAAUCUCGAGUUCGAGAGAGGUAAGUGGAAUUCCGAGUGUAGAGGUGAAAUUCGUAGAUAUUCGGAGGAACACCAGUGGCGAAGGCGGCUUACUGGAUCGAUACUGACGCUGAGGUGCGAAAGCGUGGGGAGCAAAC
rnacentral:rRNA from 1 species